rnacentral:rRNA from 1 species
GAUGAACGCUAGCGAUAGGCUUAACACAUGCAAGUCGAGGGGCAGCACAAGGUAGCUUGCUAUCUGGGUGGCGACCGGCGCACGGGUGCGUAACGCGUAUGCAACUUGCCCUAUACAGGAGGAUAACCCGUCGAAAGACGGACUAAUACUGCGUAUGCUCACAACUUGGCAUCAAGUGGUGAGGAAAGAAAUUCGGUAUAGGAUAGGCAUGCGUCCCAUUAGCUUGUUGGUGAGGUAACGGCUCACCAAGGCAACGAUGGGUAGGGGAACUGAGAGGUUUAUCCCCCACACUGGUACUGAGACACGGACCAGACUCCUACGGGAGGCAGCAGUGAGGAAUAUUGAUCAAUGGGCGCGAGCCUGAACCAGCCAAGUCGCGUGAAGGAUGACUGUCUUAUGGAUUGUAAACUUCUUUUAUACGGGAAUAACAAGAGUCACGUGUGACUCCCUGCAUGUACCGAAUGAAUAAGCAUCGGCUAACUCCGUG